CAGAGGAAGGCUCGUCCGCUCUGGGUUAGUCGGGUCCUAAGCUGAGGCCGACAGGCGUAGGCGAUGGAUAACAGGUUGAUAUUCCUGUACCACCUAUAAUCGUUUUAAUCGAUGGGGGGACGCAGUAGAAUAGGCGAAGCGUGCGAUUGGAUUGCACGUCUAAGCAGUAAGGCUGAGUAUUAGGCAAAUCCGGUACUCGUUAAGGCUGAGCUGUGAUGGGGAGAAUACAUUGUGUCUUCGAGUCGUUGAUUUCACACUGCCGAGAAAAGCCUCUAGAUAGAAAAUAGGUGCCCGUACCGCAAACCGACACAGGUAGUCAAGAUGAGAAUUCUAAGGUGAGCGAGCGAACUCUCGUUAAGGAACUCGGCAAAAUGACCCCGUAACUUCGGGAGAAGGGGUGCUCUUUAGGGUUAACGCCCAGAAGAGCCGCAGUGAAUAGGCCCAAGCGACUGUUUAUCAAAAACACAGGUCUCUGCUAAACCGUAAGGUGAUGUAUAGGGGCUGACGCCUGCCCGGUGCUGGAAGG
rnacentral:rRNA from 1 species